GUUCACUGAAUGGUAGAGAGGCGGCGAGUCAGGAAAUGGACGUCGGAUUUCUACUGUUGAGUGAAUAGAGUGCUAGUGGCGGACGGGUGAGUAACGCGUGAGUAACCUGCCGUGCAGUGGGGAAUAACACACCGAAAGGUGUGCUAAUACCGCAUGAAGUGCCGAGAUCGCAUGGUUUUGGCACCAAAGAUUUAUCGCUGUACGAUGGGCUCGCGUCUGAUUAGAUAGUUGGUGAGGUAAAUGGCUCACCAAGUCGACGAUCAGUAGCCGGACUGAGAGGUUGAACGGCCACAUUGGGACUGAGACACGGCCCAGACUCCUACGGGAGGCAGCAGUGGGGGAUAUUGCACAAUGGGCGCAAGCCUGAUGCAGCGACGCCGCGUGAGGGAAGACGGUCUUCGGAUUGUAAACCUCUGUCAUUGGGGACGAUAAUGACGGUACCCAAUGAGGAAGCUCCGGCUAACUACGUGCCAGCAGCUGC
rnacentral:rRNA from 1 species